rnacentral:lncRNA from 1 species
GUUCUCUCAAAGUUUCAUAUCUUUGAUUUUUUUUCUACCAUGCCAGAGUGCCAGCAAAAUAGUAUAAUUAAUGGACGCCACACCGGAUGCACCCGCACAAUUUAUUUUUCUAAACGGAGAAAAAAUAAAUUUUUUAUACUCCGGCUGUCCGCAUCCAUUAUAGUAAUCAUAUCUAUUUCCAGUAUUUUUAUACUCCGGCUGUCCGCAUCCAUUAUAGUAAUAUCUAUUUUGCAGUAUUUUUAUACUCCGGUUAUUCACAUCCAUUAUAGUAAUCAUAUCUAUUUCCAGUAUUUUUAUACUCCGGCUGUCCGCAUCCAGUAUAGUAAUCAUAUCUAUUUCCAGUAUUUUUAUACUCCGGCUGUCCGCAUCCAGUAUAGUAUAUUUUUUAUAAUAGUAAUCAUAUCUAUUUCCAGUAUUUUUAUACUUCGGCUGUCCGCACCCAUUAUAGUAAUCGUAUCUAUUUCCAGUAUUUUUUUUUAUGUAAACAUUAAACAGAUAAAGGUGACAGUCACAAGGUAAGUAUUUCCUGGCCCAUACACAGGCAAAAUUUGCUCACAUGAAAUUCACAUGAAAAGGUUCACGUGAGAUUCACCUCAAACGAGCUUAUACAUGAAACUCACGUAAACAUUUUCAUGUGAAUUUCACGUGAAUUGAGAUUCACAUGAAUCUGAUGUGAAAUUUUUCAUAUGAAUUUCACAUUAAAAUUUUCAACAACAAAAAAUGAUAUUUUUCAUAAGUUAAUUAUAUUUUAAAAUUUAGAUGUUAU